GGGAACGUACCCUUCGGUUCGGAAUAACUCAGGGAAACUUGAGCUAAUACCGGAUACGCCCUUUUGGGGAAAGGUUUACUGCCGAAGGAUCGGCCCGCGUCUGAUUAGCUUGUUGGUGGGGUAACGGCCUACCAAGGCGACGAUCAGUAGCUGGUCUGAGAGGAUGAUCAGCCACACUGGGACUGAGACACGGCCCAGACUCCUACGGGAGGCAGCAGUGGGGAAUAUUGGACAAUGGGCGCAAGCCUGAUCCAGCCAUGCCGCGUGAGUGAUGAAGGCCUUAGGGUUGUAAAGCUCUUUUGUCCGGGACGAUAAUGACGGUACCGGAAGAAUAAGCCCCGGCUAACUUCGUGCCAGCAGCCGCGGUAAUACGAAGGGGGCUAGCGUUGCUCGGAAUCACUGGGCGUAAAGGGCGCGUAGGCGGCCGAUUAAGUCGGGGGUGAAAGCCUGUGGCUCAACCACAGAAUUGCCUUCGAUACUGGUUGGCUUGAGACCGGAGGAGGACAGCGGAACUGCGAGU
rnacentral:rRNA from 1 species